UCCUCGACGCAGCUGGAAGUUGUGGCGUUGGGAACUGCCUUUUGUAACCGAUCGGUCGGGCUACGCGACUCCUCUUGAUUGUGGUUUGCCCAUAGCAGGUGAAAGGCCUAUUGCCGUAGCCUCGUGCAGAAGACCGGCGGUGAUGGCAGUCCUUAGAGUCGGGUUGUUUGGGAUUGCAGCCCGAAGCAGGUGGUAAAACUCCACCUAAGGCUAAAUACGAUCGCGAGUCCGAUAGCGCACAAGUACCGUGAGGGACAGUUGAAAAGAACUUUGAAGAGAGAGUUCAAAGUACGUGAAACCGUUCAGAGGUAAACGGGUAGAAAGUCGAAUUGAGAGCUGACAAUCAAGCCGUUGGUUUAGUCGUUGUUGGGCUGGUAGCACGUUAAAGGCUACCAGUUUGCCUCAGGCUGGCUACGGUUGUAUUUGUUGGUCCUGGAUCGCCGCGACGGCAGUGUCUGACCGGUUGGCGUUAGUCCCUCUGGUCGAUUUAGAUUCGUAUGAGUCUUCAAAUCGGCACAUGGUCAAGCGUCCCGCGUACAUAGCACAGUCGAUAUUAUAGCGGUUUAAGCGCUCCAGCUGGUCGUCGUUCGUUCUGUAUCGAUGGGGCAAUCUUAAACAAGUUUACCCGUUGACAUUGGGGCGGCGGCGGUUGGUUUAACGACGGAGCAAAGAUCGCAUUGGCGGCGUUUGACUACGAAUUAUCUACCCGACCCGUCUUGAAACACGGACCAAGGAGUCUAACCUGUGCGCGAGCCAUUGAGAUUAACAAACUCAAAGGCAAAGUGAAAGCAAAAUUGGUGAGAUCUGUCGUUUAUAUGUUGAGUAUAACGGCGGCGCAUCAUCGUCACGCCUCAUAUCGGCUUCGGCUGUAGAGGCGCAGACUGAGCGCACAAGUUGGGACCCGAAAGAUGGUGAACUAUGCGAGGCGAGGUCGAAGCCAGAGGAAACUCUGGUGGAGGACUGUAGCGGUUCUAACGUGCAAAUUGAUCGUCGCAGCUUCGUAUAGGGGCGAAAGACUAAUCGAACCAUCUAGUAGCUGGUUCCCUCCGAAGUUUCCCUCAGGAUAGCUGGCACUUUCGGAGAGCAGUUUUGUCCGGUAAAGCGAAUGACUAGAGGCCUUGGGGACAUAACGACCUCAACCUAUUCUCAAACUUUGAAUGGGCAAGAAGAGGGACUCACUUAAUUGGAGUCUUCUCAUUUGUGAAUGCUUGAGUGCCAAGUGGGCCAUUUUUGGUAAGCAGAACUGGCGCUGUGGGAUGAACCAAACGUCAAGCUAAGGUGCCAAAUGCUAACGCUCAUCCGAUCCCAUUAAAGGUGUUGGUUGAUAGAGACAGCAGGACGGUGGCCAUGGAAGUCGGAACCCGCCAAGGAGUGUGUAACAACUCACCUGCCGAAUCAACCAGUCCUGAAAAUGGAUGGCGCUGAAGCGUUGUGAACCUAUGCUUGACCGGCAUUGCAAAUUGUUAAAUCAAGCGAUGCCGAGUAGGAGGGUCGCUGUGGUAUGCGUUGAAGCUUUGGGCGAGAGCCCGAGUCGAGCUUCCACAGGUGCAGAUCUUGGUGGUAGUAGCAAAUAUUCAAACGAGAACUUUGAAGGCCGAAGUGGAGAAGGGUUCCAUGUGAACAGCAUUUGAACAUGGGUCAGUCGGUCCUAAGCGAUAGGCAAAUGCCGUUCUGAAAGCAGGCUUUUAAUUUUAACUAAUUGAAAAUGCCUGAUUUUGGUCGAAAGGGAAUCGGGUUAAUAUUCCCGAACCUGGACGCGGAGAUGGAGUCGUAGGCAACUGCGGCUCAGUGCGGUAACGCAAACGAUCUCGGAUUCGUCGGCGGGAGUCCUGGGAAGAGUUCUCUCUUCUUUGUAAGGGGCUGAAUCCCUGGAAUCGGCUUAGCCGGAGAUAGGGAUAUUGCAAGUUCCCGUAAAGCACCACACUUCUUGUGGUGUCCGGUGCACGACUGUCGACACUUAAAACUCCGAGCUAGACGUUCAUAAUGUUCGCGCCAGGCCGUACCCAUAUCCGCAGCAGGUCUCCAAGG
rnacentral:rRNA from 1 species